rnacentral:rRNA from 1 species
GACAAGAAAUAACAAUACGGGGCUUAACGUCUUGUAAUUGGAAUGAUGGGAAUCUAAACCUCUUCCAGAGUAUCAAUUGGAGGGCAAGUCUGGUGCCAGCAGCCGCGGUAAUUCCAGCUCCAAUAGCGUAUAUUAAAAUUGUUGCAGUUAAAAAGCUCGUAGUUGAAUUUCUGCCGCCCCGCCUCUGCCCCUCGACGGGCGUUUGCGCCGCGGCUUUUUCGGAUUAUGCUUGCAUUUUCCGAGUGUUACUUUGAGAAAAUUAGAGUGCUCAAAGCAGGCUUUUGCCUUGAAUAGUUUAGCAUGGAAUAAUAGAGUAGGACUUUGGUUCUAUUUUGUUGGUUUUAGGUACCAAAGUAAUGGUUAAUAGGAACAGUUGGGGGCAUUCGUAUUUAAGUGACACAGGGAGGUAGUGACAAGACACUGUCAGAGGUGAAAUUCUUAG